GACGAACGCUGGCGGCGUGCCUAAUACAUGCAAGUCGAGCGAAGUUUUUCUGGUGCUUGCACUAGAAAAACUUAGCGGCGAACGGGUGAGUAACACGUAAAGAACCUGCCUCAUAGACUGGGACAACUAUUGGAAACGAUAGCUAAUACCGGAUAACAGCAUUAACUGCAUGGUUGAUGUUUGAAAGUUGGUUAUGCUAACACUAUGAGAUGGCUUUGCGGUGCAUUAGCUAGUUGGUGGGGUAAAGGCCUACCAAGGCGACGAUGCAUAGCCGACCUGAGAGGGUGAUCGGCCACACUGGGACUGAGACACGGCCCAGACUCCUACGGGAGGCAGCAGUAGGGAAUCUUCCGCAAUGGGCGAAAGCCUGACGGAGCAACGCCGCGUGAGUGAAGAAGGAUUUCGGUUCGUAAAGCUCUGUUGUUAGGGAAGAAUGGAUAUGUAGUAACUAUACAUAUAA
rnacentral:rRNA from 1 species